GAGUACAAAAGGAAUAGAUAAAAACACAACCUGCUUAUCCAAAACAGAGGCGGUGCAAACAGAUCGGGGGAAAAGCUAUCUAGGGUUUUCAGAAAUUGGGGAUUAGGGUUUCCAAAUCUUUUUAUCUUUUUCUUCUCUCUUCUAAUCAUACUGGGAAGAGAUUAAUUUCGUGUAUAUGUGAUUUGUACUUGUUGUAUAUUGUGGUUCGAGUUAUGGUGGCGAUGGGAUCGGUUGGUUUACAAGGCGGCGCGACGGCGCCAAGGAGAAGGGAACAGAGGCCGGCAGCUGGAGGUGAUUGGAGGUGUGAUGGUCGGGAUUCGCAGAUAGCAAGAGGGAGGUUGGGCUGUUUGUUUUGGGUAUUGAUUGGGUUGGCCAGAGUCAAUGUAUCGCCGGAGUGGUGGAGUUGACAAGGGUGAUUGAGAUGGUGCUGGGUUUGUAUAUGUGUAUAUGUAUAAGUUGGUGGGUUUGAUUUGUGGCGGCUGAAAGGAAACAGCAAGGGAGAGGGGCUGUUUCAGGGUACUUUUGGUGCGAAUUUGAACCAGAAGGUGGUGCUGCAGUGGUAGCUCUAUCGGGUCGGCGUGAGUGUGCAGCCAGGGGAAAGGAAAACAGAAGGACUGUGGUUGUGUUCUGUAGUGGUGCCGGGGUUGAAGAAGGAUAAUAGGCGUCGUGUCGAGAUGUUGAAAAGGUAUGGUGAUUGUUGAAGGUUGCAGCAGUGAUUGGGAAAUUGUUGCAGGGAUGUUCGGCUGGUGAGUUAUGCGAGGGAGUCGGGAAUUGUGAGAGACUGGUGGGGUUUGCUGUUUUGUUGUUUUUGUGGGGUGUGCAUAUAUACAUGUAUUGUUGUUUAGUUGCUCAGUUUGGGGGAAAGAAUUGAACGGAGGCAGAGCCGCGUUGUGCAUGCUGUAGGAGAUAGAAUUGGUAAGGCCGUGACUAGGACUUGAAUGGAAGCAGGGCUUCAGUUGGUGGCUGGAGUCUCGACACUAGUUGUGGGAUGUGAGUGUUGUGAUGUGUUGGUAGAAAAUGGAGAGUCGCACAGAGGUUUGUAAGGGAGGGCGAAGAAGGAACGAGACAGGAGACAUUAGAGAAAGUUGAGGACAAAGAAGGGUGGGAGGAGUUGGUUAGUUGAUUUUAGGAGAAGAACAGAAAGGAUACAGGAGUUUAAUUGGCCAGUCACCAAGGUCCAGUAGUUGAGCUUUAACCGAAGUUAUUAUACAGUGCUAGGAUGGAGUCUGAGAUGCAGAGAUUGGAGUGAGUAGAGAAAGAUGGGAGAAAAAGAGUUGUGUUGAUGGCGGCAUCCCGUGGUUCGGAUGGCACUUUUGAAACUUUUCGGAAAUUAGAAAUGGAAUAAAAUAUCGAUUAACUGUUAAUUAUUAAUUAUUAUAAUGAUUAUUAAUAUUAUUAUUAUUAUCAAUUUUUUUGAUGAUAAUAAUGAUGUUUAAUAAUUUUCAUAUUAUUAAUAAUCAAUAAUUGAUUAAUGUAAAUUACAAUUUUAUAUUUUGACCCUUACGAUUGAAGGUCGUUGAUAAGUUUCAAAUUAUGUGAAUUAUAGUGGAAUUUGAUGUUGCUAUGAAUAAUGCUACGUGAUGAUAUCGAGUAGGUGCCAUAUUUUAGAGUGCAUCUAGAAUUAUAUUCGAAUAGUUGGAAUAUAAUUGGAUAUGCAAAUUGUAUUAUUAUUAUUAAGAUAAUACGUGUUAAUUGUCAUAACUCUGAUUAUUGUUAUAGAUUCUAUUUAAACUCCGGAGACAUUUAUUUAAAUCCAAAAAUUGAUUUUAAGUCCGGAUGGAAUCUAUUUAUGAGCAUAUUAUUUGGACAAUAAUUGCUGUGUUAUUGAUUUGGGAAUUGCUCAAUUUUAAAAUACAUGAUGUCCAAAAUUAUAUUAUAUUAUUAAAUUAGUUUGAUGAGAUUCCGAGUUGAUUUGAGAUAUGAUUGAAUUAUAGUUGGACUUGUAAUUCGGAUUUGGAUUAUUUCCAGGGAAUAUUCUUGAUGUGGUAGUUGUUUGUAUAUAAUCAGACAUGAGAUUAUAUAUAAAUAUCAUUGGAUUAUAUAUUAAUAUUAAUAUAAAUAUUAAAGCAUGUGAAUUAUAUGCUACGUGUUGACGUGAUUACUUCUUUAACUAUCUGAUGUUAUGUGUAUAUUAUUUGUAUAUAAUAUAUAUUUAUAUGACGAAAGGUAGUAAUAUAAUUUCGAUUCUGCGAAUUGACAACCUUAUGGAUUGCUCUCGACUGAAAUAUUAUACUGCUGUUAUAUAUAGUCUCUCGAGACGCGUGCAUCAACGAUUUUCAGAAGCAAGCAAAUAGCAUGGCAAGGCAAGUCAGAAAUAUUUUGAUAAGGCAAUAUUGUGCCGUAAGAUAGUCCAAUAGAUUAUAGUCAUUUCCAAUCUAGGAAUCUCGAGUAGGUGACUGUGUGUCACCUGUUUCUAUCAAAGGCAAGUAAUUCUAUUCUUCUCUUAUUUAUUUAAAGAAAAUGCUUCUAUUCCACAACUUUUAAUUAUUGUCAAUGCAACUAUUAUAUUCUGUAUUUCAAUUCAUAGAAUAUCAUAUGCUUGGAAUAUAAUUAUUGUUUGGUAUUCCAUUAUAAGAUACACCAUAGAGAUACUCAAAUAAUGAUUGAAUUCACUACAUUCCAAUGAUUGAAUUCACUACAUUCUAGUAAUCAUUCUACUAAAAUCCUCGAAUUAAUUUCAAGAUAGAUAGUGAGAAGCUAUUCUAUCCAGAUAUAGUCCAUACAGUAUAAAUUCGAGUUCAUAAUAAGCAUAUAACUAGUUAUUCUAGUUGUGUUGCCAUCAAUUGUUGGGAUUACUCCGGACCAUGUGAAAUGGCGAGUUUGUUGAAUGAGAGAGUUGAUUGAUUCAACUCCCCAAAAAAACAUUUUUGCGUAAGAGGCCGGGACGGUGGUCCAGUGAAGGGCUAUUUGGGUAUUACUGAAAUAUGAUAAUACUUUCCUGCCAAAGGCCAAUGUGUUGCCUUAUAUUGGUACCUGUGAAUUAGGACAUGCUUCUACGAAGUGUGAUCCCAUGCUAUCCCACGAACUGAUCAGCUGUGAUAAUGCUCCCGUCAGUGGAGAUUCCAAUCAAAAUUUAUGAUUUGCUUACUUAAGCUGAUAUUGCUUUUGUUUUCCAUUGGAUACUAUUGUUUCUUAUCUCUUUCCUUCCAGAAAGAUAGCACUUAUUAAUGCUUUACAUUUAAGCAUUUUAUAUAUAUAUAUAUUGCUGAGGCUUCUAGUUGCUCAUUCUUGCUUUGUCGUUGCUGUGCUAAUCUUUGAGUUACAACUGUUAUGAUUUACUUCAAAAGUUUGCUUUAUUUCAAAUACUCAGAUUUCAUUCCAAAGAAAUUAUAUCUUGUGGCUCUUUCCUUUCUUAUUAUCUCGCUGAGCAUUUUCGCUCACUCUUGCUAUUAUUUCUAACCCUUUCAGCUAGGGAUUUAGAUGUCACCUGUAUAAGCUGCGCGUAAGAUUGAUGCUAGGCGAGAUUGCCAGGGAGAUGUUUACAAGAGUAGUUCUGGUUAGAAUUGAUUUAUUUCAGUUCAGUUGUAUAAUAGAUUUAUUUAUUUGGUUAUCAAUUACUCUUCUUAUCGAGGUUUAACUGAUAAUGUUGUUUAAGUUGUAAUAAGAUUGUAAGUUUUGAUUUCUGAUUUCAGUGCUGUAGCCUAUUAGCGAUCCUGUUUUUAGGGGGUCAAAAUGAUUUUGAUUUAAAUCUCUUUUAAAAUUUCCAGAUUUUCAAAUAUCUGUUUUACCUUCUUCCGUAAAUACAGGUUUUUAAAUGAUUUUGUUUUAGUGGCACCAAAUCCAGACUCCCGGAUUUUGGGGAUGUCACAGUUGGUAUCAGAGCUAUAGGUUAUAAGUUAUUGAAAUCAGAAUGUAGAUUGUGAUAGGAUUGUGUUUAGUGGAACCUCAUAUAGAGGUAAGUCGAGACUAUUGGGUAUCGUCUUUUUCGAUUAGAUUGAUAUUGGAACAUUGAUUUUAAGUAAUCAUUUGGGAUAUCCUAGUUUCUAGUUCUGGAACUAGUGAGUUUGGAUUUCAGGAAAACAUGACAGAAUCUUUAGUUUCCAAUCUUUUUGAACUUGAGGUUGACUUUUUGAGUAACCAAUGUCAGCUAGACUCGUGGGUAAACCUGUCUAGUUUAGAAUGUUUCUUUUCAUCUCUACCACUUCCUGAGUAUUGGUAGAGGGUCAUUUAUUGAUUUUCUAGAGAUAGAUAUAGAAUGAGUAUGAGAUUGUUGGUCAGAGUGAGAAUCUAGGGGUAUAGUUCUCGAUUUGACAGCUUAGAUAGAUUUUGCAUUAGACUGCUCGAUAUAGUAUUAUGAAUAGGCUCGAACGUCAACGCUAUACAAUGCUGAUUGUAUAAAGUUGAAGAUGGCUUAUGACCAUGCCAAGGUGGAUAGGACUUUUUCACUGAAGCGGAUAAUGGUGAUGAAAUCUUUAAAGUCGAAUAUGAAUCAGCCAGAAUAUUAGAAAAUCGAGAAGAAUCGCUAGAAUCGAAACGAUCCAUCAGAAGAAUCAAUUGAGAAGACAUCUGUGAUGAUCUUGGCAAUACCUUCCUCAUAUCGUUGAUUAUAUUGAUUAUUUUCUCAAUCAAUAAUUUGUUUUAACAUCUCUUUUAUAAAGAUGUUUAUUAAAUAGCGUAUACUCUCUUUUUGAGUAAAAUCGCUAUACUUGUGUUUGCCCGUAUUUUGGGUUUAAAUUGUGACAGAGGCUAAUAUGAUACCUAUUUUUAGGUUAUGGAAGCCUGUCGAGUUUGUGAAAAUUUAUUUCUACUCUCUUAUUUCUUCUCAAAAUGGUGAAUGAGUCUAUUUCAAUAUAUCACCAUUUACUCGUUGUGUAUAAAUAUCCUUUCUGGUUAUGCUUUUUCUCUGGAAUAACACCUUUGGAUAUUAUUCAAUUUUGAUCCAAGAUGUGCAUCAUAUUUUAAUUCAUCAGAGGACAAUGAUCAUUUAUUUGAUUCCGAAAUUCCUUUCAUGUUUAUCUCCUCUAACUGAGAUGAACAACCCUAGUCAUAAGGGACACAAGGACUAUUUGUCUGUGUGAUAGAAGUCUGAUGGGACACCAUCACUUGUGUGUUGUGCAUUACAAGAAGGCUAAUUACCUAUAGUAGUAUCUUCAAUGGAUACGCAACAUAGUUCUCUAGAUCAUAUUGAUCUCUCAGCAUUUCUCUAUUUCAUAUCAGUUUCCUUUCGAAACUCAUACCUAUGAAAAUUGCUUUAAUAACUUAUAUCUGAUAUAUUUUAAGAUUCGAUAAUUCUUAUGUGUCAAUCAAUUCUGAGGGCAUUCCAGUCAAGUUUGAACGACCUAAUACUGCCAGUACACUUCAAGAUUUCGUAUACAAAAGCAAAUCACGAUGCGAAUUGCAAGAAAAUGUAUGCUCUCGUUCUCUCUUCGCGGAUUCCGAGGACGGAAUCCUUAUAAGGGGGAAGUCUGUGACGACUCGGAUAUUUUUGAUAUUAUUUAUUAGUUGCUAUUAAUUUUAUAAAAGAGCAGGAAUAGAAUCUUAUAUUUUAUUCCAAUUUGUUGGACUUUCAAAAACAAUUUUUUGAGUUGCUGCAAUUAUGUGAUUAUUUGAUUUAAUCGUGGUACAUGUUAAAUGAGCAAUUUUAAUUGUUUACUUUCUUAUACGAGUAGGUUGUAUAGAAUUUUGAUUUAUUUAUUAUUUUUAUAAAUCAAAAUUGUCUUUCAUUUUUAAAAAUCUAAACUUGGUUUUAUUUGAGCCCAAAAUAUUUUAACCGAUUUAAAUUACCAAAAUAUUCAAAUUUUGGUAUUUUUAUAUUUUCUGUCGGAUUCAAAAAUAUUUUAAAUUUUGCCAAUGAUUAUUUUAAUUGUUUGUAGUUUAAAGAUGAUUUUGAGUAUUAUUUGUGAAAAUAGAGAAAAAAUUUUAAAAUAUUAUUUUUACAAAUAUUGUGUAUUCAAGAUUAUAUAUAUAUAUAUAUAUAUAUAUAUAUAUAUAUAUUUUAUUAUUAAAUUUGGGAAUAUAUUAAAAUCUCAAAUUGUUAAAAAGCUUUUAUUAAAAUGUGUGAGUAUGAUUUAGUACACGUGAUGUCUACACGGACCCUGCGUAUUAUUUAGUUUUUAUACUUAUAACAAAAGAAAGCAGAGGACUCGGUAUAAAAACAGAGUACAAAAGGAAUAGAUAAAAACACAACCUGCUUAUUCAAAAUAGAGGCGGUGCAAACAGAUCGGGGGAAAAGCAAUCUAGGGUUUUCAGAAAUUGGGGAUUAGGGUUUCCAAAUCUUUUUAUCUUUUUCUUCUCUCUUCUAAUCAUACUGGGAAGAGAUUAAUUUCAUGUAUAUGUGAUUUGUACUUAUUGUAUAUUGUGGUUCGAGUUAUGGUGGCGAUGGGAUCGGUUGGUUUACAAGGCGGCGCGACGGCGACAAGGAAAGGGGAACAGAGGCCGGCAGCUGGAGGUGAUUGGAGGUGUGAUGGUCGGGAUUCGCAGAUAGCAAGAGGGAGGUUGGGCUGUUUGUUUUGGGUAUUGAUUGGGUUGGCCGGAGUCAAUGUAUCGCCGGAGUGGUGGAGUUGACAAGGGUGAUUGAGAUGGUGCUGGGUUUGUAUAUGUGUAUAUGUAUAAGUUGGUGGGUUUGAUUUGUGGCGGCUGAAAGGAAACAGCAAGGGAGAGGGGCUGUUUCAGGGUACUUUUGGUGCGAAUUUGAACCAGAAGGUGGUGCUGCAGUGGUAGCUCUAUCGGGUCGGCGUGAGUGUGCAGCCAGGGGAAAGGAAAACAGAAGGACUGUGGUUGUGUUCAGUAGUGGUGCCGGGGUUGAAGAAGGAUAAUAGGCGUCGUGUCGAGAUGUUGAAAAGGUAUGGUGAUUGUUGGAGGUUGCAGCAGGGUUUGGGAAAUUGUUGCGGGGAUGUUCGGCUGGUGAGUUAUGCGAGGGAGUCGGGAAUUGUGAGAGACUGGUGGGGUUUGAUGUUUUGUUGUUUUUGUGGGGUGUGCAUAUAUACAUGUAUUGUUGUUUAGUUGCUCAGUUUGGGGGAAAGAACUGAACGGAGGCAGGGCCGCGUUGUGCAGGCUGUAGGAGAUAGAAUUGGUAAGGUCGUGACUAGGACUUGAAUGGAAGCAGGGCUUCAGUUGGUGGCUGGAGUCUCGACACUACUUGUGGGAUGUGAGUGUUGUGAUGUGUUGGUAGAAAAUAGAGAUUCGCACAGAGGUUUGUAAGGGAGGGCGAAGAAAGAACGAGACAGGAGACAUUAGAGAAAGUUGAGGACAAAGAAGGGUGGGAGGAGUUGGUUAGUUGAUUUUAGGAGAAGAACAGAAAGGAUAUAGGAGUUUAAUUGGCCAGUCACCAAGGUCCAGUAGUUGAGCUUUAACCGAAGUUAUUAUACAGUGCUAGGAUGUAGUCUGAGAUGCAGAGAUUGGAGUGAGUAGAGAAAGAUGGGAGAAAAAGAGUUGUGUUGAUGGCGGCAUCCCGAGGUUCGGAUGGGACUUUUGAAACUUUUCGGAAAUUAGAAAUGGAAUAAAAUAUCGAUUAACUGUUAAUUAUUAAUUAUUAUUAUGAUUAUUAAUAUUAUUAUUAUUAUCAAUUCUUUUGAUGAUAAUAAUGAUGUUUAAUAAUUUUCAUAUUAUUAAUAAUCAAUAAUUGAUUAAUGUAAAUUCCAAUUUUAUAUUUUGACCCUUACGAUUGAAGGUCGUUGAUAAGUUUCAAAUUAUGUGAAUUAUAGUGGAAUUUGAUGUUGCUAUGAAUAAUGCUACGUGAUGAUAUCGAGUAG
rnacentral:lncRNA from 1 species